rnacentral:rRNA from 1 species
UGGCUCAGAACGAACGCUGGCGGCAGGCUUAACACAUGCAAGUCGAGCGCCCCGCAAGGGGAGCGGCAGACGGGUGAGUAACGCGUGGGAACGUACCCUUUACUACGGAAUAACGCAGGGAAACUUGUGCUAAUACCGUAUGUGCCCUUUGGGGGAAAGAUUUAUCGGUAAAGGAUCGGCCCGCGUUGGAUUAGCUAGUUGGUGGGGUAAAGGCCUACCAAGGCGACGAUCCAUAGCUGGUCUGAGAGGAUGAUCAGCCACAUUGGGACUGAGACACGGCCCAAACUCCUACGGGAGGCAGCAGUGGG